rnacentral:rRNA from 1 species
AUGAACGCUGGCGGCGUGCUUAACCCAUGCAAGUCGAACGGAAAGGCCGAAGCUUGCUUCGGUACUCGAGUGGCGAACGGGUGAGUAACACGUGGGUGAUCUGCCCUGUACUUCGGGAUAAGCUUGGGAAACUGGGUCUAAUACCGGUAAUGACGAUCUCUUGGAUGGGGUUGUGGAAAGCUUUUGCGGUAUGGGAUGAGCUCGCGGCCUAUCAGCUUGUUGGUGGGGUAAUGGCCUACCAAGGCGUCGACGGGUAGCCGGCCUGAGAGGGUGUACGGCCACAUUGGGACUGAGAUACGGCCCAGACUCCGACGGGAGGCAGUAGUGGGGAAUAUUGCACAAUGGGCGCAAGCCUGAUGCAGCGACGCCGCGUGGGGGAUGACGGCCUUCGGGUUGUAAACUCCUUUCGCAAUCGACGAAGCCUUUUGGUGACGGUAGGUUGAGAAGAAGCACCGGCUAACUACGUG